rnacentral:rRNA from 1 species
CCAGUCCUUAACUGACGCUAAAGCUCGAAAGUGCGGGUAUCGAACAGGAUUAGAUACCCUGGUAGUCCGCACGGUAAACGAUGGAUGCCCGCUGUUUGCGAUAUAUUGUAAGCGGCCAAGCGAAAGCGUUAAGCAUCCCACCUGGGGAGUACGCCGGCAACGGUGAAACUCAAAGGAAUUGACGGGGGCCCGCACAAGCGGAGGAACAUGUGGUUUAAUUCGAUGAUACGCGAGGAACCUUACCCGGGCUUGAACUGCAGGAGAACGAUACAGAGAUGUUGAGGUCCUUCGGGACUCCUGUGGAGGUGCUGCAUGGUUGUCGUCAGCUCGUGCCGUGAGGUGUCGGCUUAAGUGCCAUAACGAGCGCAACCCCUUUCUUCAGUUGCCAUCAGGUAGAGCUGGGCGCUCUGGAGACACUGCCACCGUAAGGUGUGAGGAAGGUGGGGAUGACGUCAAAUCAGCACGGCCCUUACGUCCGGGGCUACACACGUGUUACAAUGGGUGAUACAGAGAGUUGGGUGCCGGCAACGUCGCUCUAAUCUUGAAAGUCAUCCUCAGUUCGGAUUGGGGUCUGCAACCCGACCCCAUGAAGCUGGAUUCG